GUACUGGCUUCGGCAGCACAUACACUAAAAUUGGAACGUACAGAGAGGAUUAGCAUGACCCCUGUGCAAGGAUGACCUGCAAAUUUGUGAAGCGGUCCAUAUUUUU